GUAGUCGUGGCCGAGUGGUUAAGGCGAUGGACUAGAACUCCCGCGUAGGUUCGAAUCCUACCGACUACG